CGUCUAUAUCAAGUACUUAUCUACAGAACUAAAAAAAGGUACUUAUCUACUACCGCUGUACAUCAUAGUGAAAAUAAAACUGAAUCCCAAUACCCCACUUAGAUGCAACCUACACCUGAGCUUUAUGCAUGUUCAUGUGCAAACUAUGCAUAUACUAAAGCUUGCAGCAAGCACACACACAUAUACACCAGCAGCGGCUCACUGUUAAUCAUCAUGUUAGUCAUUCAUUAAGUAGAGGCUCACUGUUUGUUUGUGCGCAGGUUUCCAAAGAAAUAAAUACUCAAUGCCAUUCGGUGGUUUUCGAUGUGCCAGUCUCCUUUUCUGCUCUUAUUUAAUUAUUUAUGUACUCCUAUCUUGCUAAUGAUUUACCUAUUGUUGUAUGUAAUUUAAUGUGAGGCACCGCACUCAUCCGUUCCGGCAAUAUCGAGAUGGAGGCCAACACCAUGGACGGCUGGAGCUGCGAGUAUAUUUGUCCAAGAUAUGGCAGUGUUCGUAGUCAUGGUUCUGAUAUACAUGGAUGAUUAUAUGGGUGCGUGGCAAGUAUACUACAAUGAUGAUGAUGAUGAUGUUCCGGUUCACGAUGAUGAAGAUGAUGUCUGUUUUCAGUUUUAGUUAUGACGGUUGUUUUCAGUUUUAGUUAAGUUGUAGGGAUGUUGUUCCUGUUGGAUGAUGUUCCUUGGUUAGGUUUUAGUUAAGUUGUAGAGUUGUUGAUGGAUGCUGUCAGUUUAACUUUCGUUGUCAAGAGAAUGUUUAGAUUAUGCAUCACAUUUGGAUGUUAUUCCUCCUGUAAUAUCAACUAUUGUAAUCCCACAAUUUUUCUCAAUAUAUGGUUUCUUCC